CACCGCCAGUCGCUCCUACCGAUUGAAUGAUCCGGUGAAAUGUUCGAAUUGCGGCGACCUCGGUGGUUCGCUUCCCUGCGAUGUCGCGAGAAGUCUAUUGAACCUUAUCAUUUAGAGGAAGGAGAAGUCGUAACAAGGUUUCUGUAGGUGAACCUUCAGAAA
rnacentral:ncRNA from 2 species